rnacentral:ncRNA from 1 species
GGUCAAGUUUUUUAAGAGCAUUCGGUGGAUGCCUUGGCACCAGGAGCCGAAGAAGGACGUUGUAGCCUGCGAUAAGCCUCGGGGGAGCUGGCAAACGAGCUGUGAUCCGAGGGUGUCCGAAUGGGGGAAACCCGGCCAGAGUCAUGUCUGGUUUACCCCGCGCCUGAAUAUAUAGGGGCGUGUGGGGGGGGGAACGCGGGGGGAAGUGAAAACAUCUCAGUACCCCGCAGGAAAGAGAUAUUCCGUGAGUAGUGGCGAGCGAAAAGCGGGACGAGGCUAAAACCGGGGGGGUGUGUGACAGCCGGGCGGGGCGUUGCACCCCUCGGGGGUCGUGGGGACCUGCUGACCAGCUCUGCCGGGCUGGUGGGGGAGUGAGAAAGUCGCGGUGUAGUCGAACGGUCUGGGAAGGCCGGGGCACAGUGGGUGAGACCCCCGUAGACGAACGUCGUGGCCUCCUUGCAGGG